GCCAGGGGGCGCGUCGCCCCCCUGGACCCCCCGACUCGCUGACCGGGCAGCGAGACCCCCGUCCUUUCUGUUUGUAACGGGUCCAAUUCAAGGCAUUCAACAAAAGUAAAGCUUGUUCUAGUUUUGCUUGAAACAUCACAUCUUUUCUUCGUUCAUAUCACUUCCGUCAAGCUUCGUGGGUUCAAAGGUCUCCUUCGCUCUCCUUAUCGCAUCCAGCUGCCCGCUAUAAGCAUUUCGAGAGAUCCAUGAAGGCUAAACUCCCUCCUAUCGAGUAUAAGCAGCCAUCAACCGAUGAAUAGGUCCCGGAGUAAGAAAGAUCCAGAAAUCCAAGGAGUUGAAGUUAUUGUCUAAAAAGACUCCAAAGUUCUAUUAUGAAAAUUUGUAUUUUUGGGUCUAAGCCCUUGUUGUAUUUCUUUUCCGCAUUUACUAUUUUUGUGUAAUUUGUUCAGGACAUGUGGAAAUGGGUCAAAAACCCAAAAAUAAAGUGGGUCCAAAUACCGGUCAAGGCAUACGGGUUUGGACCCGAUCUCUCUCUCUCUCUC